UUUUUAGCGGCGGACGGGUGAGUAACGUGUGGGCAACCUACCUUUUACUGUGGAAUAAUCGUUGGAAACGACGACUAAUACCGCAUACGGUUCUUGGAAGGCAUCUUCUAAGAAAGAAAGGAUUUAUUCGGUAAAAGAUGGGCCCGCAUCUGAUUAGCUAGUUGGUGAGAUAAUAGCCCACCAAGGCAACGAUCAGUAGCCGACCUGAGAGGGUGACCGGCCACAUUGGGACUGAGACACGGCCCAAACUCCUACGGAAGGCAGCAG
rnacentral:rRNA from 1 species